ensembl:lincRNA
GACAAAAUUGACUUGGAAUGAACUGCAGUAAUUUGCCCAAGGUCUCUUAGCCUAUAAGUGGUUGAGUUACAUUCAAAUAUAGGCUUUUGUGAUAUCAAAUCAGAACUUUUUCUAUCAUCCCACAGUGUCUGUGAAAAUGAUGCAGAAAAGUCUUCCUGGUCAGAAAUAUUUCUGUCACUGAUCUGCCACAGGGCCUGAAAUUGCCUUUACUGAAGUCACUGAAAGACGUAAUUUUUAGAGGUUGUCUAUUAAAAUGUAAUGUGCAACACAGAACAAGGUAUCUGUUUUACUGGGAAGUCACAGAUGGAGUUAAUAAGUCCAGAAGAGGAGUAAGCACAAGGCACAGUACCUGAAACAAAAUUCUCCCUUGCGUUCUUUGGCUGAGUGAGGCCUAGGCAAGAGAAGGUACACUUGUCACUGAAUAGCAACAGACUGACCACAACACCUUUCCACUGGUCGCUUUGAGGACACAGAGUUUCUUAAGGUAGAAUGGGCUUAUCCAUCCUACCACUACCCAUGGCCUUGAAAGCUACAGAUGUAAGGGAUACUCCUUGACUGUGAUGAGUGAAAGGGACUUGGUCUUACAUAAAACUAAAGUAGGAGCCUCUCUUCUGUCUGGCACAGGAAUCAAUUGGAGAUCCCACUACCUGCACAGGUUGUGAGCCCUGGGCAACCAUUACUGACAGGAAUUUAUUGUGUUCCUCAUGAUAGAAAAAAAAAAUGCUUGAAAAUGUCAAUGUGUAUGUUUUCAUGGCUUAGAACAAUGCUUGAGAAUAUCUUUGUCUUUGUUUUCAUGGCUUAUGAAUAUAAACAUGGUAAGUUUUCACUCAAAUCAUUUGGUCAGCAGUCACAAAUUCAGAUAUAAUGUCAUCUACCUUCACUCUUGUUCAUUCUUUAACUGACUCUUGAUUGUCAAUCUUGUACCCUGGGUUAGUGAGUCUAGUCCUGCUGGUAAUUGUUAUGGUGCUGAUUCCUGGGAAUUUGGACUGGAGAUGAAGGGAGGGAGAACUAAAUAGAGGCAACUAUCCAUUAUGAAUAUAAACAUUACUGUGAUUUCUUAUAAUGUAUUUUUCUCUUACCCUGUAUUAGAAUCUGUAAAACCUAG